UACGUAGGGGGCGAGCGUUGUCCGGAUUUAUUGGGCGUAAAGGGCUCGUAGGCGGCCAACUAAGUCAGACGUGAAAUCCCUCGGCUUAACCGGGGAACUGCGUCUGAUACUGGAUGGCUUGAGUUUGGGAGAGGGAUGCGGAAUUCCAGGUGUAGCGGUGAAAUGCGUAGAUAUCAAGAGGAACACCUGAGGUGAAGACGGGUUGCUGGGCCGACACUGACGCUGAUGCGCGAAAGCCAGGGGAGCGAACGGG
rnacentral:rRNA from 1 species